rnacentral:piRNA from 1 species
AAGGGCUGUUAAAAAUGUAAACU